rnacentral:rRNA from 1 species
GACGAACGCUGGCGGCGUGCUUAACACAUGCAAGUCGAACGGAAAGGCCCUGCUUUUGUGGGGUGCUCGAGUGGCGAACGGGUGAGUAACACGUGAGUAACCUGCCCUUGACUUUGGGAUAACUUCAGGAAACUGGGGCUAAUACCGGAUAGGAGCUCCUGCUGCAUGGUGGGGGUUGGAAAGUUUCGGCGGUUGGGGAUGGACUCGCGGCUUAUCAGCUUGUUGGUGGGGUAGUGGCUUACCAAGGCUUUGACGGGUAGCCGGCCUGAGAGGGUGACCGGCCACAUUGGGACUGAGAUACGGCCCAGACUCCUACGGGAGGCAGCAGUGGGGAAUAUUGCACAAUGGGCGGAAGCCUGAUGCAGCAACGCCGCGUGCGGGAUGACGGCCUUCGGGUUGUAAACCGCUUUCGCCUGUGACGAAGCGUGAGUGACGGUAAUGGGUAAAGAAGCACCGGCUAACUACGUGCCAGCAGCCGCGGUGAUACGUAGGGUGCGAGCGUUGUCCGGAUUUAUUGGGCGUAAAGGGCUCGUAGGUGGUUGAUCGCGUCGGAAGUGUAAUCUUGGGGCUUAACCCUGAGCGUGCUUUCGAUACGGGUUGACUUGAGGAAGGUAGGGGAGAAUGGAAUUCCUGGUGGAGCGGUGGAAUGCGCAGAUAUCAGGAGGAACACCAGUGGCGAAGGCGGUUCUCUGGGCCUUUCCAGACGCUGAGGAGCGAAAGCGUGGGGAGCGAACAGGCUUAGAUACCCUGGUAGUCCACGCUGUAAACGGUGGGUACUAGGUGUGGGGUCCAUUCCACGGGUUCCGUGCCGUAGCUAACGCUUUAAGUACCCCGCCUGGGGAGUACGGCCGCAAGGCUAAAACUCAAAGGAAUUGACGGGGCCCCGCACAAGCGGCGGAGCAUGCGGAUUAAUUCGAUGCAACGCGUAGAACCUUACCUGGGUUUGACAUGGAUCGGGAGUGCUCAGAGAUGGGUGUGCCUCUUUUGGGGUCGGUUCACAGGUGGUGCAUGGCUGUCGUCAGCUCGUGUCGUGAGAUGUUGGGUUAAGUCCCGCAACGAGCGCAACCCUUGUUCACUGUUGCCAGCACGUUAUGGUGGGGACUCAGUGGAGACCGCCGGGGUCAACUCGGAGGAAGGUGGGGAUGACGUCAAGUCAUCAUGCCCCUUAUGUCCAGGGCUUCACGCAUGCUACAAUGGCUGGUACAGAGAGUGGCGAGCCUGUGAGGGUGAGCGAAUCUCGGAAAGCCGGUCUCAGUUCGGAUUGGGGUCUGCAACUCGACCUCAUGAAGUCGGAGUCGCUAGUAAUCGCAGAUCAGCAACGCUGCGGUGAAUACGUUCCCGGG